CCUACGGGAGGCAGCAGUGAGGAAUAUUGGUCAAUGGACGAGAGUCUGAACCAGCCAAGUAGCGUGAAGGAUGACUGCCCUAUGGGUUGUAAACUUCUUUUAUAAAGAAAUAAAACGAGGCACGUGUGCCUUUUUGCAUGGACUUUAUGAAUAAGGAUCGGCUAACUCCGUGCCAGCAGCCGCGGUAAUACGGAGGAUCCGAGCGUUAUACGGAUUUAUUGGGUUUAAAGGGAGCGUGGAUGGGUUGUUAAGUCAGUAGUGAACGUUUGCGGGUCAACCGUAAAAUUGCAAUUGUUACUGGCAGUCUUGAGUACAGUUGAGGUAGGCGGAAUUCGUGGUGUAGCGGUGAAAUGCUGAGAUAUCACGAAGAACCCCGAUUGCGAAGGCAGCUUACUAAACUGUGACUGAUAUUGAUGCUCGAAAGUGUGGGUAUCAAACAGGAUUAGAUACCCCGGUAGUC
rnacentral:rRNA from 1 species